AAAGAGUGCGUAAUAGCUCACUAGUCGAGUGACCCUGCGCCGAAAAUGUACCGGGGCUAAACAUAUUACCGAAGCUUUGGAUUGAUAUUUUAUCAAUGGUAGGAGAGCGUUCUUAACCGCGAUGAAGGUAUACCGUGAGGAGUGCUGGAGCGUUAAGAAGUGAGAAUGCCGGUAUGAGUAGCGCAAGAUAAGUGAGAAUCUUAUCCACCGUAAGACUAAGGUUUCCAGGGGAAGGCUCGUCCGCCCUGGGUUAGUCGGGACCUAAGGCGAGGCCGAAAGGCGUAGUCGAUGGACAACUGGUUGAUAUUCCAGUACUAGAUAUGAUCGUGAUGGAGGGACGCAGUAGGCUAAGAGAUGCCAGUUAAUGGAUUCUGGUCUAAGCAGUGAGGUGUGAGAUGUGUCAAAUGCAUUUCUCUCUAACAUUGAGCUGUGAUGGGGAAGCAACUACGGUUGCGAACUCUCUGAUGUCACACUGCCAAGAAAAGCUUCUAGCGUAAAGUCAUAUCUACCCGUACCGCAAACCGACACAGGUAGUCGAGGCGAGUAGCCUCAGGUGAUCGAGAGAACUCUCGUUAAGGAACUCGGCAAAAUAGCCCCGUAACUUCGGGAGAAGGGGUGCUGGUGUAAAAGCCAGCCGCAGUGAAUAGGCCCAAGCAACUGUUUAUCAAAAACACAGCUCUCUGCUAAACCGCAAGGUGAUGUAUAGGGGGUGACGCCUGCCCGGUGCUGGAAGGUUAAGAGGAGUGCUUAGACGUAAGUCGAAGGUAUGAAUUGAAGCCCCAGUAAACGGCGG
rnacentral:ncRNA from 1 species